rnacentral:miRNA from 1 species
CCCUGUGCUGUAGAAGCUUCCCUGC